rnacentral:rRNA from 1 species
GAGCGGUAAGGCCUUUCGGGGUACACGAGCGGCGAACGGGUGAGUAACACGUGGGUGAUCUGCCCUGCACUCUGGGAUAAGCUUGGGAAACUGGGUCUAAUACCGGAUAUGACCACAUGAUGCAUGGUGUGUGGUGGAAAGAUUUAUCGGUGCAGGAUGGGCCCGCGGCCUAUCAGCUUGUUGGUGGGGUAAUGGCCUACCAAGGCGACGACGGGUAGCCGACCUGAGAGGGUGACCGGCCACACUGGGACUGAGACACGGCCCAGACUCCUACGGGAGGCAGCAGUGGGGAAUAUUGCACAAUGGGCGGAAGCCUGAUGCAGCGACGCCGCGUGAGGGAUGAAGGCCUUCGGGUUGUAAACCUCUUUCAGCAGGGACGAAGCGUGAGUGACGGUACCUGCAGAAGAAGCACCGGCUAACUACGUGCCAGCAGCCGCGGUAAUACGUAGGGUGCGAGCGUUGUCCGGAAUUACUGGGCGUAAAGAGUUCGUAGGCGGUUUGUCGCGUCGUUUGUGAAAACCCGGGGCUCAACUUCGGGCUUGCAGGCGAUACGGGCAGACUUGAGUGUUU